rnacentral:rRNA from 1 species
GAUGAACGCCAGCGGCAGGCCUCAUACAUGCAAGUCGAGGGGCAGCGGUACACUUCGGUGUAGCCGGCGACCGGCGCACGGGUGCGUAACACGUAUGCAACCUACCUUAUACUGAGGGAUAGCCACUGGAAACAGAGAUUAAUACCUCAUAUUAUCUUAUUUACACAUGUAAGCAAGAUGAAAGCUCCGGCGGUAUAAGAUGGGCAUGCGUCCUAUUAGCUUGUUGGUAAGGUAACGGCUUACCAAGGCAACGAUAGGUAGGGGGUUUGAGAGGAUGAUCCCCCACACUGGCACUGAGACACGGGCCAG